rnacentral:tRNA from 4 species
GGCCGUGUGGCUCAAUGGCAGAGCGUCUGACUACGAAUCAGGAGGUUGCAGGUUCGACCCCUGUCUCGGUCA